GACAGAGGUCCCAAGCGUUGUUCGGAUUCACUGGGCGUAAAGGGUGCGUAGGCGGUUGGGUAAGUCUGUCGUGAAAUCUCCGAGCCCAACUCGGAAACUGCGUCGGAUACUAUUCAACUCGAGGAAUGGAGGGGAGACUGGAAUUCUCGGUGUAGCAGUGAAAUGCGUAGAUAUCGAGAGGAACACCAGUGGCGAAGGCGAGUCUCUGGACAUUUCCUGACGCUGAGGCACGAAAGCCAGGGGAGCAAACGGG
rnacentral:rRNA from 1 species